GAUGAACGCUAGCGGCAGGCCUAAUACAUGCAAGUCGGACGGGAUUCAGGAGCUUGCUUCUGAUGAGAGUGGCGCACGGGUGCGUAACACGUAUGUAACCUACCUUUAUCAGGGGGAUAGCCUCUCGAAAGAGAGAUUAAGCCCGCAUAAAAUCACAGCACAGCAUUGUGUAAUGAUCAAAUAUUUAUAGGAUAAAGAUGGGCAUGCGGAACAUUAGCUAGAUGGCGGGGUAACGGCCCACCAUGGCGACGAUGUUUAGGGGAUCUGAGAGGAUGGCCCCCCACACUGGUACUGAGACACGGACCAGAAUCCUACGGGAGGCAGCAGUAAGGAAUAUUGGUCAAUGGGCGGAAGCCUGAACCAGCCAUGCCGCGUGCAGGAAGACGGCCCUACGGGUUGUAAACUGCUUUUAUACGGGAAUAAACCCAGAUACGUGUAUCUGGCUGAAUGUACUGUAAGAAUAAGGAUCGGCUAACUCCGUG
rnacentral:rRNA from 1 species